ACGGGCUUCGGUCUGGUGGCGAGUGGCGAACGGGUGAGUAAAGUAUCGGAACGUACCUUUCAGUGGGGGAUAACGUAGCGAAAGUUACGCUAAUACCGCAUAUUCUGUGAGCAGGAAAGCAGGGGAUCGCAAGACCUUGCGCUGAUUGAGCGGCCGAUAUCAGAUUAGCUAGUUGGUGGGGUAAAGGCCUACCAAGGCGACGAUCUGUAGCGGGUCUGAGAGGAUGAUCCGCCACACUGGAACUGAGACACGGUCCAGACUCCUACGGGAGGCAGCAGUGGGGAAUUUUGGACAAUGGGGGCAACCCUGAUCCAGCCAUGCCGCGUGAGUGAAGAAGGCCUUCGGGUUGUAAAGCUCUUUCGGCCGGGAAGAAAUCGCAUGGGCUAAUACCCUGUGUGGAUGACGGUACCGGAAUAAGAAGCACCGGCUAACUACGUGCCAGCAGCCGCGGUAAUACGUAGGGUGCGAGCGUUAAUCGGAAUUACUGGGCGUAAAGCGUGCGCAGGCGGUUUAGUAAGACAGGCGUGAAAUCCCCCGGGCUCAACCUGGGAACUGCGCUUGUGACUGCUAAGCUAGAGUAC
rnacentral:rRNA from 1 species